rnacentral:rRNA from 1 species
GAUGAACGCUGGCGGCGUGCCUAACACAUGCAAGUCGAGCGAAGCGCUUAAAUUAGAUUUCUUCGGAAUGACGAUUUUUGUGACUGAGCGGCGGACGGGUGAGUAACGCGUGGGUAACCUGCCUCAUACAGGGGGAUAACAGUUAGAAAUGACUGCUAAUACCGCAUAAGACCCCAGCUUCGCAUGAAGCGGUGGUAAAAACUCCGGUGGUAUGAGAUGGACCCGCGUCUGAUUAGCUAGUUGGUAAGGUAACGGCUUACCAAGGCGACGAUCAGUAGCCGACCUGAGAGGGUGACCGGCCACAUUGGGACUGAGACACGGCCCAGACUCCUACGGGAAGCAGCAGUGGGGAAUAUUGCACAAUGGGGGAAACCCUGAUGCAGCGACGCCGCGUGAAGGAUGAAGUAUUUCGGUAUGUAAACUUCUAUCAGCAGGGAAGAAAGUGACGGUACCUGACUAAGAAGCCCCGGCUAACUACGUG